rnacentral:rRNA from 1 species
UACGUAGGGUGCGAGCGUUGUCCGGAAUUAUUGGGCGUAAAGAGCUUGUAGGUGGUUUGUCGCGUCUGCCGUGAAAAUCCGGGGCUCAACCCCGGACUUGCGGUGGGUACGGCAGACUAGAGUGUGGUAGGGGAGACUGGAAUUCCUGGUGUAGCGGUGAAAUGCGCAGAUAUCAGGAGGAACACCGAUGGCGAAGGCAGGUCUCUGGGCCACUACUGACGCUGAGAAGCGAAAGCGUGGGGAGCGAACAGG